rnacentral:rRNA from 1 species
CUCGACCCCGUGAAGUCGGAGUCGCUAGUAAUCGCAGAUCAGCAACGCUGCGGUGAGUACGUUCCCGAUCCCUUGUACACACCGCCCGUAAGUCGUCAUGAAAGUCGGUAACACCCGAAGCCGGUGGCCUAACCCCUCGUGGNCGGGAGCCGUCGAAGGUGGGAUCGGCGAUUGGGACGAAGUCGUAACAAGGUAGCCGUACCGGAAGGUGCGGCUGGAUCACCUCCUUUCUAAGGAGCACCACGA